AUGGCGGCGGGCACAUGUGGAUAACUGGUUUGACACAUUUUUCAAACCAAAUAAAAAUCAGAAAAAAAUUAAGGUGAUUCAAUCAACCUUGAAUUUGAAACAUGAUAAUUGGCAAUUGCAAGUCCCGACGGAUAAACGUAAAUCAUUUAAAUGGAGCCUACCAUCCACAGCAUGGCUUGGUGUGGACAGAUGGCCAGUGUGUCAACCUGUCAAUCAUAUCUGUCAAUCAUGACGAUGUCAUUGCAUCGCCUCCCACCAUCCUUGGCCAGUUUGAUUCUGUCGAGCAUGCAGCUUGGAGUUCGGGUACCACACCUUGUUACCUAAGCAUUCAGCAAGUGACCUGCAUCACAGUAUGGAAGGUUGAUAAGUGCUCACAGAAACUCAAGUUUGACAAGAUCAGUGAAAUAGAAGAACAGGUUAUCCCUCAAAGUUGCCUUUGGCAUCAAUCCAAGCCACUGCUUGUCGUCCUGUGUAGGGACCAGCUCCUGUUAGUUGACCCAGAAAAAGCAUCCACCCAUGCCGUUCAUGUGAACUCUUGCCACCGAGUCACUGCAGGGACAUGGUCUCUGGAUGGAUCACAGGUUAUCGUUGCGAUGGGAUUUGAUCUUUGUGUUUAUGAGUUAAGUGAUGACAUGCAGUUGGUGCAGGCAAGAAAGAUACAGAAUUUCGCUGGACCAAUCAGGACAGUGGUUCCAGUGGCACCUGACCUUGCUGCCAUAGCGCUGGACCUACCUUUAGAGCAACUUGUCAGCCAAUCCCAGGUGGACAUGUUUGAAGCCAUACCAUUGGCAGAGUUGCAUGUACAUGCUGAGGGUUCAAAUGGUGAUACUCAAAUGAUACACUCCAUGGCCAGCGAUACAACUCAGGUCGUAGGUCAGACGAAAAUACUGCAUCGUUUGAAAGAUGGCAAAGAUCAAGCCACUGAAAGUGAAAUUUUGCACAGGAAAGGACCGGUGGAUAUCAACGCUUUGAUCAGAAGGAGAGACAGGAACCAGAUGUCUGGUUCAAACACUGCCCACCAGGCUGCAGAGGGAUUUGUCCAGUCAGACCAUCCUCCGGAGCAAAAGACCAAGCACCACUCUGAGCGUGAACAUGGAAGAAAUGGAAGCACUGUUGCAGUCAGAUUACCAACAGGAGAACCUCAUCCUGGUGAAGUAACUAGAGAUGUAUCACUACUUGAAAGCUCCUCAAGGAAUUGCUUAGAAGAACCUAACUCUGGAAUUCAAAGAAGAGGGGGGCCACAAGAGGUCAUUGAUCUGUCAGGUCUCAGACAUGGACUGAAACAUGGAGUAGAAAGUACAUAUAGAAAACUCCAAUUUAAACGAGCACUACAGAAGCCAACAUCAGAAUCCUCGCAGCUGGUGCUGGCUCGUGUUGGAAACGACGCCCAAGAACCUGCCAAGGACUGCAUCCUGUCUGCAGUAGAGCUGCCUUGUAUUCUCAGUCCAGAUCUUCUGAUAUACCAAGAAUCCAGCCAAGUUCUUGUGGUGGGCAGCAACACCCAAGCAAAAUGCUAUCAAGUUUCUGUACUCAGUGGGAAGAGCUUGGGAAGACUGAGAUUACUUGAUUUGGAUUUCUCAGAGAAUGAGAGAUCCCUGGGACUGUGCACAUUACCAUUCAACAAGGACGUCCUCCUACUUACUGGCGAUUCUCAAGUACACGAUGUCACCUUUCUACCCUCGUCCAGUUUCUCUGAGUAUCAACUGAAGUUAAGAACCCUGAAGCUUCAUUUUCAUGAGCCCCUUGAAGAAGAAAAAUGCUCUGGGCAUGACCUUGAUCUCACAGAUGACCUCCCAACUUUGACUUUACCGAAUGGAAGGUUGCUGACAGGGAAAGAGCAUCCCAACAAACGUGUUCAAGCAAAAUUGAGGAGGUCACAUUUUCACCUGACAGCUGACUUACUUCUACACAAGACAAAUCAGAGCGUGGCUGUGUCCCAGUGUGUGAGAUCAAACAAAUUGAGCCCGUUGAGUCACAUCAUUUGUAAAUGUUGAAAACUUAAUGAUAACAGUUGUGAGUCAUACUGCAGACAGGCUAUUUUCAAACUGACAUGUAUAAUAUGUGUAGUUUUUAUUGACAAGAAAUUAUUUAACUGCCAGUUUAUUUGUGUGUUUAAAAGUCUGUGGAAAUAUUUUCUUUCCUUCAGAUUUUUUGGCUGGUGUUCUUGAAAUGUGAUGUUUGGGAAACAAAAAUACCCCAUUUUGUAUUUAUUGCCAUUUUGAUGAAAAUAAACCCAAGCAUUCUUCAAGUAGUAUUCAAUGACACUGCAGGUCAGAAAUCAUUAAAAAAAAAGUGCCAAGGAAGACUAACAGAAAGGCAGAAAAUCUUGGAAUGUUAUUUUAUAUGUGGGGAGAAAAUCAUGGACCGGGCGGGGACAAACCAACCAAAUCUGUAUACAGGCAUGCAACCUUUCCUCAGACUGACUUCUUGUUUUCACUUCACACCCAUUGUAACAUAUCAAUCCUGGGGUUUCAGCGGGAAGGGAACACUCCUGUUCGAAUUGUGGGAUCUCGAUCUAUGCCUUGUCGACACAAACUGAUGUGGGCCCGGCAGAGGGACGUGAGUCAGGCAGUAGUGAGCCUCAAGAGCCAGGCCUAGAACCUCAAACGGAUUCAGCAAUUGCAGUCCUGCAGGACAGUGCUAGACCGGGAACCACAGCCAGGGUGGCGUACCAUCAAGUCAGUCAAGACGAGACCCACGAACCCAGUUGAACUUAUGAAAGCUAAUCAUUUUAAUUGAUCUGUUUGUAAAACGUGCUGUGUAAAACAUACCCAUUAAUAAGUUGAGGUUGUACUUGGAAAACUGAGGAGUUCUAGAGCGUUACAAGAAAGUAAAGUGCCACAGAAGUGUCUUUUCAGUGUACCUUUAGAGGAAAACAAUUACGCACCAAUUUAUUUGAAUUUGUAUUAUUAUUGUGUGUCACAAGAAAGUAAAGUGUCGCCGACAAAUCUACUUUCGCAUGCCUAUGUAUAUCAGCCCAGAUUUGAACGCGGUCGUCGAGAUGGUACUCGACGAAAUACCAAGAAUAUUUCCAUAUACUGUACAUGUACUUGGGACGUAAGUGUUGCAUUACAAAGUAUAAGACUUUAUCAUCUCUUCCUUCAUCUUGGUAACAUUGCUAAGCUGAUCAAUCCGAAUAUCUACUUUAUUUUAAUGCUUUUUUUCAGGUUCAUGUAAGUAAAGUAGACAUGCUGGCCGAUCAGCUACAGAAAAAGACUGGCCAUCAAGACUUCGUACAAUUUAAAGUUGAAACCAAAGGCUUCCUGUCCAUGGGUAUAAAUAAACUUUUUACCACAACUGCAUAUACAGUUUGACAAUAUUAUUAGUGUGCGUGUUCUCACAAAAGAAUUCCAUGUAUCUUGAGAAGAAUGUACUUCUGUACGAAAUACAAGUAGAAUGGAAACAGUGAUCGAUAUCCGUAAUCCAUAACGGGCGUGUGUAUUGAUUAACGUUAGUUCAUAUCUACAUGGACUUGUACAGCCAUUUUUAAGCCAGAUGGUUAGCGCUCCAUCCUUUCACAUCAUCUUUUAUUUAUCUGAAAUCGAGCUUUAAAAGUAUACAUGUCGGUCCGAUUUCCUUUUGAAUGAUAUUUAAAAUGAAGCGUACACAAUGGCUGCUUGUUUGUAUCGGGUAGAUGCCUGUGGAAUGUACGUCAUUCAGAAAAGGUGGGAUACAGUAUCGUUGUGGAAUCUCUUGCUAGGUUAACGGACGAUAGAGCGUUGUUCUUCAUGUACUACGGGCGAUUGUCAAAACAAGGAUUUUGGAAUUUAUUAAAGCCGUUCAUUAUUAGGUCACAGGCUUUCCUUAUUUCUUUCCUGUCUGUUAUCGGUCUUAAAAUCUUAUCAGAAAUUGAAAGCACAGGUUCUAAUGAUGCAGUUCUAAGUAAUGGGUGUUUGGUGAGACCAGUAUCUAUUUCAACACAUCAAAGGCAGCCUUUGGGCACAGAACGACACACAGUUCGCCAUUGUAGUCAUGAGCCACUACAACCGAUGCUACGCUAACCCUUCCUCGGCGGGGGGGUGGGCGACGGGUGCGCAUAACCAAGCCCACAGACCCGGGCGAUGGUGUGCAAAAUAGCACCCCCAACUUUGACCAAGUUAAGCCACAAACAUGAUCAAACUCGCCAAUGUCAGAGACCCACCGAAAAACCUUAGAUAUUCAUUCAUUCACAACCUCAGCACCCCCUGAGAAAAAUAUGUUCCCGCGGGCAUGCGCACAACGUCAAUGGCUUGAAAGGGGAAUGGGUGGUAAUAUUGGUCCCCUGCCCCAAGGUGCGGGGAUACAUCGCCCCUUCCCCCAGGCUCUCGGCCCACGGAACCCGGUACUCACAGAUUUAAAGAAGAUUGCGUGGAAAAGCACAAUGUAAAUGGUUCUAAUGAAUUUAUGUAGGGUAAAAUAUUGACAUCCCUGUAAAUUCAUGAUGCAAAUUAUGUUACAGCACUUAAAAGUGGAACACGAAAUUUAAGGAUUUUCAAUCAGCGUGGCUAAUGUAUGCACGAAGUUAUCGCCGUGUAAGUUGUCAUUGCAACGUUGGCUGUGUUUCAAGAGCAUUGUCAAACCGUCUUCAGUUGGCCUCUCAUCGGUUUAUUGUGUUUGUUCAACUUUUGGUGCACCUGUUUUCAA
rnacentral:misc_RNA from 1 species